UGCCCUUCGGAAGGCCUCCCCUCCGGGCUUCGGCUAUCGCCGCUCCUCUUCACGUCCCUCCUCUUCCACGCCAAACACCUCCCAAUGUCUGCCCGGAGUAUCAUAGAUGUUUCGUACGAUUUGGAGCAGCGCCGUCCUCAAGUGAAGAUCCAUGCCGCCCCGGGAAAAUCAAGAGAUGACGGCGGCGCAAGCUCGAGGUUGCACCAAUGGCGGCUCAAACCAACUAGCGCCAGAUCGGGAAGCGGCCAUGGCGAGCAGCGGUGAACGACGUGUUUGUGACGCUCCUCACCGCCAGAAACGCCCUCGCCGACGUCCAGCACCGCCUCGACCUUUAAUUAGGAGAUGAUCGACCUAAUGCGGACGAGCCUGGCGGUGCACCAGCUGGUGCCUCCUCCGGGCUGCCCCUCAUGACCAAAGAUGACGAGGCCGCCUACGGCAAUCUCAAGCAGUUCUUCCAUUUUUCUGAGUUUUAGGCAGACUGCAGCAAGCUUCUACAUUUUUGUGCGAUUAAGCUGUCAAUAAGCGUGGAGUGUGUCUCUUAGAAGAUACGGUGUCGACUUUUUUUGGUUCCAGGUGUUGUUCCUAUUCUGCAUUUAGCUCCAGUGUUUUGCACAACAUUUGUCUAGAGCUACACAAAAUCUCCGCAGGGUACAGCUGAUUGCGACAUGAGCCACUACGUUAUGAGAUAAGCUGGCAAGUCUGGUUAGCAAUUGUUGUGUUCAAUGAUACACUAGAUUUUGCGGUAAGGUUCUACUAACAAGUGAAUAUACUUUUACGAGGUCAGCGCCACCGCCGGCAAGUGCGCCUUGCCUACUUCCCUCGCUGGUGAAUAAGGGGGUCGUCCGAGGAGGAAGCCUUGGUGAAAGCUGUGUUGGUGAACGGCGCUGGAAGCUCUUGAUUCUGAUCCGAAGCACCACCAUAGGGUGAUACCUCCUGCUCCUCUCUUGAUUGGUAUGUGUUGUGCAGUUCUCUCCCCGUCUCUAAUUUGUGCGAACUAUAUUCGGCAUAGACCAAUGUACUUGCUAUACAUCCAACUUUGUUGAUUUCUUCUUGAUCUAGCAAAACUUUGCCAAUUCUGUGAUUAUUCAGAAGCAUUAAAAGCGAUUUUGGAUCUACUGACGAGGAGAAAAAAUGAAGGUGAUGAUGACAUAAUUAGGAGAUCCUUCGAUACUAGAUUAAAUUACUGACGAGGAGAAAAAAUGAAGGUGAUGAUGACAUAAUUAGGAGAUCCUUCGAUACUAUAUUAAAUUAGUGGCUCUUUGGGUUGAACGCAUUCAUUAGCCUGGUGGUGGUACCUAACUUGAUCUAGGUAGCAUAGCUAGCUCUCUUAUGUUCUAGGAGACAGUCAUUUAUCUCUAAAAAAAAUUUGUGUGACGGUACUGAUAUGAUGAUUAUCCCUUGGGCAAUCUGUGCAAGGUAUGCUUCACAAAAAAAUUAAUAAUUUUUUUUAGUUGCAAUCGAUGUACUCAACUACGGAAAUGCAAACCAUUAGCUGGGAGCUGGCCAUGCCAACGUACAGAAACUGCCAUGGUAAAGUAAACGCCUUGCAUUAGACAUACAUCAAACUUGUUGCUGCAUCAAAGUUUCAUAGUGUAGCAAUUAGUUUUGAUGGUGAAAUAUACACAUGUGGAUUUGGUCGUGUCGGUAAUGCAAAUAUUCAGUGGUAAAACAAUGACACAUCAUGCUUUCAUGGUGUUAAUUAGCGUUGGUGGUCCAUGGCGAUUUUUCCUUAUAUAUGGUAACGUUCUUUUGUUAAUCAUUUAGAAUAUCUAAGUUAUAUUUGAAUUAGUGCCCACUAAUUGGAUUUUCCAUUUUUCCAUGGUGUUUCUAAUGUUUCUCUUGCAUCAGAUAAGCACCCUACUAAGACUAGGCUGAUUCUACUACUCAUGAGACAACCACGCUCAUCUUUUUUCAUGUUAGUAUUACUUUUGCCACUACGGAUUUAAUUACUUCUCUGACACAAACUCAUGGUUGCUUUCUUUACAUGACACUAUAGAGAAAUAAGUUGAGAAACAGUCUAAACCGUCAGUAUCUGACUAUCUAUAUUCUUCGAGGUUCAAAAUUAUCAUGCUCUGCUGUUGGUGCGUAUACAGAUUCCCUUAUCCCUAUGUUCAUAUACUGGUGUUCUGUAAAAAAAAUACAGUUGGAUAAACCUAAAUCAAAGUACAAAGAAGUUUAGAGCAUCUAAGUGUAACUUUUUUCUAUGUCAUGUAACUGCCAUGCAGGUGGGCAAUUAUCUGAUCCCAACGUAGACAUUGUCUACAUUAGAAUGGCUUAGCCAUUUUUCGUCUGCUUUCUUUCUGUAACAAUUUUAUCGUAAUCUUUUAUUGCUCUUAGUAUGUUAGUUGUAUACUGUGAAGUCAUGUAUUUCUUUCUGGACUUAGUAUGUUAGUUUUAUCGUAAUCAAUAAGAUUUAAGAAACGUCACCAGUGCAGUAGUAUAGGAUAGGCGUAUCACUCAUUUUUAAUGUUGGUUGAAUGGACUGUCAAAUGCCUUAAGCUUUUUGCAGUCACUAUAUAUUCUCCACCAAGCUCCCAGCAUUGCCUAACCUUUUCUUUUUCUAAUCUUCUGUUUUCAUUGAGGAUUUGAGAUAGAUACUAUUGGAGAAGGGGUAUAUUUAUUCUGAAAAGGCAUAUUUAGUGCUGACAAAGGAUUUCUCUCUCUCGAAUUACAUGCACUCAAUAGCCUAAAUGCUGAGCUUAUAGCCGUUUCGUGCUAAAUAAGAUGUAUGCAUGCUCUGUUUGUUGAGGUUGUGUGUUGGCAAUGAGAUAGAUGCUAUUAGAGAAGGGAUAUAAUUAGAAUUUUACCCAUUGUGCAGGUUUGCUAGAUACAUCAUAUCCUACACAGAAUUGGUCAUGUCAUAACAUUGUGGCUGCAGCGUAGCCUAAAACUAUGGCUCUCCACACCCCAUUACUUAGGAUGAUCUCACAACAACAACAACAACAACAACCAAGCCUUUCAGUCCCAAACAAGUUGGGGUAGGCUAGAGUUGAAACCCAUAAG